rnacentral:rRNA from 12 species
GCAUCGAUGAAGAACGUAGCGAAAUGCGAUACGUGGUGUGAAUUGCAGAAUCCCGUGAACCAUCGAGUCUUUGAACGCAAGUUGCGCCCGAGGGACCCUCCCGAGGGCACGCCUGCCUCAUGGGCGUUA